AUUGAACGCUGGCGGCAUGCCUUACACAUGCAAGUCGAACGGCAGCACGGGAGCAAUCCUGGUGGCGAGUGGCGAACGGGUGAGUAAUAUAUCGAAACGUGCCCAGUCGUGGGGGAUAACGUAGCGAAAGCUACGCUAAUACCGCAUACGAUCUACGGAUGAAAGCGGGGGAUCGCAAGACCUCGCGCGAUUGGAGCGGCCGAUAUCAGAUUAGGUAGUUGGUGAGGUAAAGGGCUCACCAAGCCGACGAUCUGUAGCUGGUCUGAGAGGACGACCAGCCACACUGGGACUGAGACACGGCCCAGACUCCUACGGGAGGCAGCAGUGGGGAAUUUUGGACAAUGGGCGGCAAGCCUGAUCCAGCAAUGCCGCGUGCAGGAUGAAGGCCUUCGGUUGUAACU
rnacentral:rRNA from 1 species